rnacentral:rRNA from 1 species
AACGAACGCUGGCGGCAUGCCUAACACAUGCAAGUCGAACGAGGCCUUCGGGUCUAGUGGCGCACGGGUGCGUAACGCGUGGGAACCUGCCCUUAGGUUCGGAAUAACUCCCCGAAAGGGGUGCUAAUACCGGAUAAUGUCUUCGGACCAAAGAUUUAUCGCCUUUGGAUGGGCCCGCGUUGGAUUAGCUAGUUGGUAGGGUAAAAGCCUACCAAGGCGACGAUCCAUAGCUGGUCUGAGAGGAUGAUCAGCCACACUGGGACUGAGACACGGCCCAGACUGCUACGGGAGGCAGCAGUGGGGAAUAUUGGACAAUGGGCGAAAGCCUGAUCCAGCAAUGCCGCGUGAGUGAUGAAGGCCUUAGGGUUGUAAAGCUCUUUUACCCGGGAUGAUAAUGACAGUACCGGGAGAAUAAGCUCCGGCUAACUCCGUG